rnacentral:rRNA from 1 species
UAGUCCACGCCCUAAACGACGUUAACUCGUUAUUGGCGAUAUUACUGUCAGUAACCAAGCGAAAGCAUUAAGUUAACCACCUGGGGAGUACGUUCGCAAGAAUGAAACUCAAAGGAAUUGACGGGGGUCCGCACAAGCGAUGGAGCAUGUGGUUUAAUUCGAUAAUACGCGAGGAACCUUACCUGGGCUCGAAUGUCUCUGCUACCUUGAGAGAUCAAGGGUUCCUUCGGGACAGAGUACAAGGUGCUGCAUGGCCGUCGUCAGCUCGUGCCGUGAGGUGUUGGGUUAAGUCCCAUAACGAGCGCAACCCCUAUAUUUAGUUGCCAGCACAUCAUGGUGGGGACUCUAAAUAGACUGCCUGCGUAAGCAGUGAGGAAGGAGGGGAUGAGGUCAGGUCAUCAUGGCUCUUACGCCCAGGGCUACACACGUGCUACAAUGGCGUGUACAGAAGGAAGCUACCUGGUAGCAGGAUGCAAAUCUUUAAAGCACGUCCCAGUUCGGA